CCAAACAGUCCCUCACUCUCCGCUCUCUUCCCCGAGCUGAGCCCGUGAUUUGAUUUCCCCCGAGCCCCUAAAACCCUAAAACCACUCUCUCUGGAGCGAGGCUGUGAAUUGUGAUGAUCAUCAAUCAGUUCAGGAGUGUGUGUGGAGGAUACGGCUACCAGGGAAGGCGGCGGCAGUGGCUGGUUGCCCGUGGCAAGGCAGCACCGGAUGGCUCGUGAGGUACAGAGAGAGAGAGGAGAUGGAUCUGACUGGUUUUAUAAAAACGGGAAACUGAAUUUUCUAAUUUUACUCUGACGAGCAACCGGCUGCUGCAGCCAUGGCUGUUCCGCGCCUGUCGGCCUCCCUUUGGGUCGCCAGAAAGGUUAGAUCUGAGCCUUCCUCAACUCCAAGCGAAAAGAUCAAUUCAAUUAUGUUUUAGGAAGAUUGGGGCUUUCAUGACUGAUUCUUGUUUUCCUUGGCGGACUUCUCGAGAUCUUGAUUCCGAGUUUGAUGCUCGUGGUGGGACUGUUGUGUUGCUUUGUUUCCCUUUCCCUCGGAAGUGUAACCGAAGAAUAUAUAUUAUAUAAGAAAAAAGGAGGAGAUGGGAGGCGGCGCAUGCUGAAUUGGUGUGUCAGUCUUAUAUGAUUUUCUCCGAUCAACAUGGGUUGGUGAAAGGGGUUCAGCCCUUCAAGCUCUCGGGUGAGUCUUUGUGAAUUGAGAAAAUCCAUAGAUUGGAAGGGAUUUGUCCAUAGUGGGCCAAUUCGGCUUGAAUCUCGAUUAGUCGGGGCCAUUGGUUUUUCUAGAUAUCAGGCUUUCACAUCGAAAAAAAAAAAAAGAAAAAGGUUUUCCGAUGGCUUUGCUCUCAGAGGGGUUUUGCUGGCUUCUGCUUCGGUGUUUGUUUGACCCUCUCUGAUAGAUUGCGGAGCCUGUGAUGAGACUGACUGUGUUUUACCUUCUCGCCAGAGGUGAAUGAAUCAGAAGGAGCAGCAUGUUGAACCGUCGUUUUGGUCUUUGAUUAAGCAAUGUGUAGAUAUCUGUUGAGCUCCCCCGGCUCAGAGACCAGCAAAUAGGUGAGGCAAAAAGGGCUAAGAAAAACUGAAAAAGAGUCAGGCAGGAAGAGUGUCCAUAGCUUGGCAUGGCAGCUAAGAAAAGCUGCAGCCAUGGUUGGGUUCAUCUAAGGCCUGAUCAAAAUUGGAAUCUGAGCCUCAAACAAUCAUUCAGUUAAUGGCUCACUCAGAAUCUGAAACCUACAUAGGUUUUGCUGUCCAAGUCCACUCAUAUUGAAAGUAGCCUUCUCCAGCUCGAAAUCAAGCCCAUGAGUUCUCAAACUUUGUCUUCUAAAAUUUUUGAGUUGAAACUUCACCAGAUUCAUCUGGUAAAAAGGAAGGGGAAAAGCAAACAAGAUCAGAGGCUAUACAAUGUCUUCACCGCCUUUUGGUUUGAGAAUGAGGCUCUGCUCUCGGAGAAGCCAUCAAUGGCGGCCUCCUCCCUUGCUCCAGCCAGUGAGUUGCUCUUCUCCGAUUGGUAGCGGAACUGAUGAUUUCUCGAAAACUUUGGAAACUUUUGAACCACCCUUUGUUGCAUCCAGAAAAAAAGGGAAAAAAAAACCCAAUAGUGUAUGGUGUACAUUCCUAUACGAAACAAACCCAAAAGCUUAUCUGCGACAUUGAUGUCCAUCAUAAUGUUGUUAUCGUUGUCCAUCAUAAUGUUGUUGUCUUCGCCGUUGCCCCUGCUGUGAAGCCAUAACAUUUUGCAUGCAAAAACGCAAACAUUAAGGGGCGAUGAGGAUUUAUGGAGGGAAAAGGCAGAAAUUUUUAGGAGAAAAGCAAAAAAUAUCUUCAGGCGCUCAGAGCUGACCAUAGCUUGGUAUGGCAGCUCCAAGAAGCUGCAGCCAUGGUGGGUUCCUUAAAUCUGCCUGAUACGAAUGCAAAUCUGAGCCUCAACUCAAAGAUCCAUUAAUCUUAAUAAAUGUUGUGCUAAAACCUUAGGGUUCAUUCUGGGAGGCUUUAAGUGUUAGCUUUUCAUUGCGGGAUGCAUUUUCAAAGUUACCUCUUUCUGCAGCAGAAAUGAAGAAGCUCGGGUCGGUUGCCCUACUUAAUUGGAGAAAUUUUGAAGGAGGCGAUGCGGAUGAAAAGGAGAAGAGUUGAAAGGAAUUUUUUGCAGGCAUGAGAGAGCAUCCUGUAGCUUGGCAUGGCGGCUUUGAAAUGCCGCAGCCAAGGCAGAGCUCCUUGUAUUUAAUUUACCCUGUUUUUAAUUUAUGCUUUAAUGCAACAUUAUUUAAUAUAUGUUUUCAUGGUGCACAAGUCCAACUAAUUUACUUAACAAUGCUUUUUGCAUCAUAUGGUAUGCAACACGAUUUUAAUGUGCUCUCGAAAAUGACUGCAGAAGAUAUUAUGUAAAAAUGACUACAUGAAAUCGUGGGCUAGUUAAUUUAUGUAAUCUUAACAACAUUAGCAUUUUAUGUACUAAACCAGAGAAAGUAAGAGUAAUCAGGCCAAAAAUCAGAGAACUGUCCGUAUCUUGGCGUGGCAGCUCCGGGGGAGAGCUGCAGCCAUGGCGGGGUUCCAUUCCAUCGGUUUGCCUGAGGAUAUAUCAAUCUGUGCCUCUGAUUGAUCGUUCGACUCUUUUUUCCCCAGAAAACCAGCUGAUAUUAUUUGCGCUAAGGGGGCAUUUGGUUUGGUGGUAGCAUUUGCUGUGAUUUGCUGCUGAUGAUGUGAUUGUUGAGGUACUUUGGUCACUUGCUUCCUGUGCUGGAAUCCUGCAUCAUUUGAUCAAGCAUGUAAUCUUGCAUGCAAACUGAAGCUGAUGAGCGUCCCUGAUUCCGCAAUCGAAAUGGUAAUCUUCGGGCCGUGAUGAUUACAUGCAUUGAGAUCGAAAUGUGAGGUAAUAUACUCUGGGAACUGUCUGUAUUUUGGCUUGGCGAUUCUGAGGCAAGUCGCAGCCAUGGCAGGUUUCCAUACUCAGUUUCUUGGUUUGCCUUUGUAGAAUGCCAUCAGUUUUUCUGGAUACAACUUAGAAGAUAUGACAUUAUUAUGUAUGUGCUUCAUUCUUGCAAUGGUUGGCCAAAAUAUCCAUUUGGGUCUUGAACUUUGCUGCUCGGUGUAAGAACAAAUUGUCUUGAGAAUGUGCCUGUGCUUCUAGAGAAGCUGCUGACACUUUGGCUCCAAGAAAACAAUAACAUGUUUUCAAGGAUAUUGCAAACUUGAACUUCUUUUUUGGGUGUGCAGCACCUGGUAUUCAGAAGUCGGAAGUCGUAUCGGCGCCGACUAAUCCAAGCUCAAGCCGGGUUGGCCCACUAAGGCCGUUUCUGUUCAUGGAAAGUUCUGGACGAUCCUUUCAGUUAUUCAGUAAUAUCAAUAAUUUGUCUGUGGUCCUGUUGUUCUUGUUCUGCUGCUGCAGCUGCUCCACCUCCCAAAGGACUGGCUCUGCUCCCAGAGAAGCUGGCAGCUGUCUGUUCCAUUUACUCGCCCUUCUCUGCUCUCGAAUAAGUUUCGGAUGGUGGCUUCUUGCACCCAACAGGUGGCUGCCCUUCUCAAAUCAGGGGCAGAGCCAUGACGAUUUCUUAAAAAUUUUAUUCUUACUAAAUAUCCAAUUUUUGAAAGCUUACCAGAUUUUUCUGGUAGUAGAGAGUAAUGGACAGUGCGUUUGGUUUCAGAGUUAAAGUUACUGUUAUUUUGAUUGUGGACAAGGACAAAUGAGAUGGGAUUAUAAAUUUGACUUGGGAAA